AGGGUUUGAUCAUGGCUCAGAACGAACGCUGGCGGCGUGGUUAAGGCAUGCAAGUCGAACGGAGUGUGUGGAAGGUAACGGAAGCACACUUAGUGGCGAACGGGUGAGGAAUAGAUAGGUAACGUACCCCGGACUCAGGAAUAGCGGCGUCCUUGACACUUCGGUGUUGGGGGCUUUGCGAAAGUGCCGGUAAUACCUGAUGAUAUCCCGCACCGGCAUCGGUGCGGGAUCAAAGGUCCGCAGGUCUGGGAGCGGCCUAUCUCCUAUCAGCUUGUUGGUGGGGUAACGGCCUACCAAGGCGACGACAGGUACCAGGCGUGAGAGCGUGGUCUGGCACAUCGGGACUGAGACACUGCCCGGACAUCUACGGAUGGCUGCAGCAACGAAUAUUCCGCAAUGGGCGAAAGCCUGACGGAGCGACGCCGCGUGUAGGAUGAAGCACUUCGGUGUGUAAACUACUGUCAGGGGUUAGGAAGAACGUGACCAACCCCACAGGAAGCCUCGGCUAACUCCGUGCCAGCAGCCGCGGUAAUACGGAGGAGGCAAGCGUUGUUCGGAAUCACUGGGCUUAAAGCGUGUGUAGGCGGGAUGGUAGGUGUCAUGUGAAAGCCCUCAGCUCAACUGAGGAACUGCUUGGCAAACCCCCAUUCUUGAGGCCAGCAGGGGGACCUGGAACUUUGGGUGGAGCGGUGAAAUGCGUAGAUAUCCAAGGGAACGCCUGUGGCGAGAGCGGGGUCCUGGGCUGGUUCUGACGCUGAGGCACGAAAGCGUGGGUAGCAAACAGGAUUAGAUACCCUGGUAGUCCACGCCGUAAACGAUGCGCACUAGGUAUCAGCGCCUCUGACGGGGUUGGUGCCGCAGCAAAAGCGAUAAGUGCGCCGCCUGGGGAGUACGGCCGCAAGGCUAAAACUCAAAGGAAUUGACGGGGGC
rnacentral:rRNA from 1 species